GACGAACGCUGGCGGCGUGCUUAACACAUGCAAGUCGAACGGAAAGGCCCUGCUUUUGUGGGGUUCUCGAGUGGCGAACGGGUGAGUAACACGUGAGUAACCUGCCCUUGACUUUGGGAUAACUUCAGGAAACUGGGGCUAAUACCGGAUAGGAGCUCCUGCUGCAUGGUGGGGGUUGGAAAGUUUCGGCGGUUGGGGAUGGACUCGCGGCUUAUCAGCUUGUUGGUGGGGUAGUGGCUUACCAAGGCUUUGACGGGUAGCCGGCCUGAGAGGGUGACCGGCCACAUUGGGACUGAGAUACGGCCCAGACUCCUACGGGAGGCAGCAGUGGGGAAUAUUGCACAAUGGGCGGAAGCCUGAUGCAGCAACGCCGCGUGCGGGAUGACGGCCUUCGGGUUGUAAACCGCUUUCGCCUGUGACGAAGCGUGAGGGACGGUAAUGGGUAAAGAAGCACCGGCGAACUACGU
rnacentral:rRNA from 1 species